GUGUCAGCAGCCGCGGUAAGACGUAGGAUCCAAGCGUUAUCCGGAAUUACUGGGCGUAAAGGGCGUGUAGGAGGUUGGGCAAGUCGGCCAUGAAAGCUCCCGGCUCAACUGGGAGAGGCUGGUCGAUACUGCCUGGCUAGAGGGCAAGAGAGGGAGGUGGAAUUCCCGGUGUAGUGGUGAAAUGCGUAGAUAUCGGGAGGAACACCAGUGGCGAAGGCGGCCUCCUGGCUUGUACCUGACUCUGAAACGCGAAAGCAUGGGUAGCAAACAGGAUUAGAAACCCUGGUAGUCCAUGCCAUAAACGAUGUCAACUGGGUGUCGGCGAAGUAAAAUUUGUCGGUGCCGAAGCUAACGCGUUAAGUUGACCGCCUGAGGACUACGAUCGCAAGAUUAAAACUCAAAGGAAUUGACGGGG
rnacentral:rRNA from 1 species